rnacentral:rRNA from 1 species
GUCCUUUAGGUAAUAAUAAUUUAAGGUCUAACCUGCCCAUUGAUAAGUUAAAAGGCCNCAGUAAUUUGACUGUGCAAAGGUAGCAUAAUCAUUAGUUUUUUAAUUAAAAGCUUGUAUGAAUGGUUGGACGAGAUAAAAUCUGUCUCUAUAUAAAAAAUAGAAUUUAAUUUUUAAGUUAAAAAGCUUAAAUUUAUAUAAAAGACGAGAAGACCCUAUAGAUCUUUAUAUAAUUUUUUAUAGUAUUAAUAAAGGUAAAUUUAAUUUAUUAUAAAAAAUUAUAUUUUAUUGGGGUAAUAAAAAGAUUAAUAUAAUUCUUUUUUAUAAUACAAUAGUUAUUGAUUUUAUGAUCCAUUAUUAAUGAUUAUAUGAUUAAGUUACCUUAGGGAUAACAGCGUAAUUUUUUUAAAGAGUUGUUA